UACGUAGGGAGCAAGCGUUGUCCGGAAUCAUUGGGCGUAAAGCGCGUGUAGGCGGAUUUUUAAGUCGGGGGUGAAAUCCCAGAGCUCAACUCUGGAACUGCCUUCGAUACUGGGAAUCUGGACCCAAGUAGAGGCGAGUGGAAUUGCGAGUGUAGAGGUGAAAUUCGUAGAUAUUCGCAAGAACACCAGUGGCGAAGGCGGCUCACUGGCCCGAUACUGACGCUGAGGUGCGAAAGCGUGGGGAGCAAACAGG
rnacentral:rRNA from 1 species